rfam:Strongylocentrotus purpuratus Contig29726_fixed, whole genome shotgun sequence.
GGUGUGAUGGCUCAGUCAGUAGAGCGUCUGCCUCACAACCGGGAGGUUGUGGGUUCGAACCCCGGCCGCGUCA